UACGUGGGGGGCAAGCGUUGUCCGGAUUUAUUGGGCGUAAAGAGCGGGUAGGCGGCCUUAUAGGUCUGCUGUGAAAACCUGAGGCUCAACCUCGAGACGUCGGUUGAAACCGUAAGGCUAGAGUCCGGAAGAGGAGAGUGGAAUUCCCGGUGUAGCGGUGAAAUGCGCAGAUAUCGGGAAGAACACCAGUGGCGAAGGCGGCGCUCUGGGACGGUACUGACGCUCAGACGCGAAAGCGUGGGGAGCGAACAGG
rnacentral:rRNA from 1 species